ensembl:lncRNA
GCGGGAGCUGUUUCUCACACCGAACCUUCUCCGCUUAGCGCAGAAAGAACCGUACCUCCCAAGCCGCCAACCGGCUACGACCUGCAGCGAGGCGGAGCUUCUACCUCGUUGGCACUACUGAGCACCUGCUGUGUGCCAGGCACUGUGUUAGCCCAGCUUGCAACCAUGAACGAGGACCAACCAGACCUCUCUCCGUGUCCUGGCAGCGCUGACAGGCCAGUGGGGGACACAGACAAUAAACUACUCCCAAAAGGCACGUGAAGUGGGCGAAGCGCACACGCAGGGGGAGGCAGAGUGGGCAAACGCGUACAAAGGGCUUAAGGCGGGACUGGGUGUGGCGAGGGGACGCGGGGCGGGGCUUUCAGUCUAGGGAGGUUUCGAGCAGGGAGCCUCCGAAUAGGAUUGAAGUGAUGGUUCAGCCAGGGUCCGGAUCCGUCCGCCACUUCCUGGUCGUAGGACCUCAGGCAGGUGAGUUAGCCCCUUAAGCCUCUGCUCUGCUCAACAGCAAAAUAAAAACAGCGACGGCUGCCACAUACUUGCCGUGCAGACCAGGUGGCAGAACACACUGGCACAUGCGCAGUGGGCACGGAGAGAAAGCUCUUGGAGCCUCAGCUGCCCAAGCUGUAAAAUGGGCACCAGUGGCCAAGUCACCUGUGCCUUUGGCCUGUCACCUGGGAGCCGAGGAGACUGGAGAAGCACCCCCACUCCCCACCCCACCCCACAACCCCUGGCUCCAUGUACGAUGGAGCCCAGCAUCUAGGCUGUCAAUUGUUAUCAACAGCCUUCGCGGGGUGGGGGUGGGGGACUGAUUAGGGGUUAUUUACCCUCUGGCCAUAAAACCCAGGGGCAACCGAGCGGGAGCAGCUGUCCGACCCACCCCCGCAGGUGUCAGCUCGAAGGAUCUGGGGCCGCUGCGGCCUCCUGGGACAGGCUCCUGCCAAUGGCCUCAGCCUGCCGGGCGCCGCAGGAGGGGCUGGGAGGAGCCUGCACUUAUCUUAAGAAUCACAGGGCCUUUCACCAGCCUCAAGGGCUCCAGGAGAACAAAGGCCAGCAGCUUCCCAACACCAGGUGGCUGACAAUUCAGAAAGAGGCUCAGAGUGGGGAAGGGACUUGCCAGGCAGCCACACAGCAUUGGAUCUGCUGUCCUUCACAGCCGCCACCCCCGGGCUCCCGGUCCAGGCAAAGGAGCCCGCCACUGGGCUUCUGACCAGCCUGGCAGGUUGGGCUGAGACUUCCAAAGUGCCAGACUCAGGGGGCUGUGGCGGACCCGACUUCCCCGGGAAACUUCCGGGCAAAAGUGGAAUCGGUUCCGAAUCAGUGGUCGUGCCUACCACUGGCUGCUGCCUGCUGAAGGACACCCGGGCCAAGCCAGCUCUGUCCUCAUUGGACGCUCUCCAAGCAAAACUCCAGUUCCAGAGGCUGCCUGUCAGAAGCAGACGGGUGGCCGAGGCACCCUGGCCCCCCGUGCGGGGAACGAAGCUCUCCAAACCAGCCUUCCAGAAGCUGAGCCCCUGGGAUGUCGGGUCCUGCCCCGGCCAAGGAGGCCACAUCACGUCUGCCCAAGUUCUCCAGAAAAUCCCCACCCAGAGGAGGGAGGCAGAGGUCACCGGGUCCCAGCCUUUGUCCUUUUUCCUGUGGAAUUCCACUUUGGCGAAAUUUCUCUUGAAUUCCCAGGAAGUUCUGCAGAAGCCCAUGGAUGACACUCACUCAUGCCAAGUCUGUUGUGAGCGGAAUGCUUCCCGGCAGAGGCUGCCCAGGGCAAGGGUGCUGCUGGCCACCUGCUCUGGCCUCACCUGCUGGGGGGCCCCCCGUGUCGCUAUUCAUAGCAGCAACGCAAGUCAUCAUUAACUUCUGAGAAUUUCCAACUAAGGUGGACCCCCUGGUACAGGAAAACCGCGGGUCCCUAGGACGCUGCUCGGUGUCACAGCAGUGAAAACUGAGGCUCAGGCACACAGUCCUGAAAAGCUUAAGUGGGAGUUCCGUGGUGGUUCAGGGGGUUCAGCAUCCAGCAUUAUCACUGCUGUGGUGCAGGCUUGAUCCCUGGCCUGGGAACUUCCACAUGCCAUGGGUGUGAAUUUAUAAAAAAAAAAAAAAAAAAAAAAAAAAAAGCUUAACUAUAGAAACACCAUGUGACCCAGCAAUUCCACUCAAGGGCACAAACUCAAGAGAAACAACAGUGGCCUCCACACGGGGCUACAU